rnacentral:lncRNA from 1 species
AAGGGGUCCAGGUCAGAGUUUAGAGCUUUCAAAUCCCAACUUGCCCCUGGGGAUUGCGCGGCUGAUGUUUAGAUAUCAAGUCAUCAGGGUCUGGCUGUGUAAAAGUUCAAAGUAUUGAGGGUGAUAAUUGCAAAAUUGAAACAGAGCAUGGGACUAGUAUCUUGCAGUCUGUUAAGGGUCAAAAAUUGCAUGUUCAAACAAAAGGAGGCAAAGUGAUCUGUCUGGGAACAGUUUAUGGAAAUAUAGAUAUUCAUGCAUCAGAUAAAAGUGCUGUGACCAUAGAUAAACUGCAGGGAAGUUCUGUUACUGUAUCUACCGAAGAUGGUUUGCUGAAAGCCAAGUAUCUUUAUACAGAAUCAUCAUUUCUGUCUUCUGCUGCUGGGGAUAUUACAUUAGGAAGUGUUCAUGGUAAUAUAACAUUACAAAGCAAGAUGGGUAACAUCACAGUAGAUUCGUCUUCUGGAUGUCUAAAAGCCUCAACUAAUCAGGGUGCCAUAGAUGUUUAUGUCAGCCAACUGGGGAAAGUGGAAUUGAAAUCCCAUAAAGGUUCUAUUAUUGUCAAGGUCCCAUCUUCACUUCAAG